UUGCGAUGACGUCCAAUUAUAUUGUGAUCAGCGACGUUUUGUUCUGCGGUUUUAUAACCCAGGCAUUUUUAUUUUAUUUUAGCAAAUAAUGUUAGUUAUGGCCGAAAUAGCCUAACAACGUUUUGGAAAAAGAACGAGUAGAAUUGCAUGUCAAGUUCUACUUUACUGGGGAAAUCGAGUACCACUGGUUCACAGUUGGGACUUUAUGGGGAAUUUUGGAUGCUCGGACAGGAGAGAUUUUUUUUGGCUGGUAGAACAUCAGUCCUGGUAGAUGGAUUAUUUUGGUUUGGUAUUGCUUUUGUGAAAGUUUAGUAUAGUUAGUAAGUUAGUUUUUUUUUCUCAAUUGGACUUUUUGGGGGUCUUUCUGGUGUAAAGAUUCACUUAUUUUUUUUUCUCUUAUUUUCAGUUUGUAGUUCGCUGAGGGCAGCUCAGAUUCUUUCUCCGUGCGAAUGUCUAGGGGGGAGGGUAUUGUAACGUUGCCGUUUGCUGUUUUUUCACAAAUUAAUAUUUCUUCUCAAUAUUCUGAUUUUGGAUACCACUAGCGACAUCUAUUGGCGUGAUUUAGAAUUAAUUUGCAAUAGAUGGCGCUUUUUGCUCAGUUAAUUGAAAUAUACUUUGAUGAAACAUUUCCUAGUGUUUUUAUAUUGAUUAUUCUAUUUUUCAAAUAGAAUAUUUUCAGUGUUCUGGAAAUUGUUUUCAUCAUGGUUUUAUUAGUACAGUAUUUACUUUUUCAAACGGCGAAACGAAACGUAUCGCGAUGUCUAUGACAGAGCGGCUGUCAGUGGAGCUGUCAAAUCACUUAGGAAUUUGUCGAUCGUGCGCAACCGCAAUUUGAUUAUUUUCGGGAAUGUAAUUCCUUUUAUUUCAAAUCGGGUGGUGCAAAAUGCAUCCACGAUAAUUUCUUGAUGAAUAAAUAAAAAUAACACACAUGAGGUAAGUUCCCGUCGGAGAAUUUAUUUAUUUUUCGUGAUUGAUAUUUUUCGUAUUCCAGUACGUGGUAUUUUAUGUGAUCGUUUCUUUCAGAGAUUCCCUAAAUCCUAUUCGGAUGAGGGUGGGUUGCUGAAAACUGCGAGUGAAGCUUAAAUUAGCGAACAGUUUUCAUGCGGGAUUUCAUAUUUUACACUAUUUUUAUAGACAUUUUAGAUAUUUCAAUAUUUCAUAUUGAUUUCUCAUCAUUUGGUAUAAAUUAUUUCUCCUUUCUAAACUGCUGAUCUCUUCGCAUUUCCUCCUUGUCAUCAAACCUCUGUCUCUGCAAGAGUUUGAACGCUUUCCUGUCGAGGAGACGCAAGAGCUUCAUCUGGCACUGCGCGCUUGAGGCCGUGGAGGACGCUGCUUGUAACCUAAAAGUGUGUGAGACCCGUUGGACCCCGGAAGAAGAGAGGAACGUUCAGGGUAACGGCUUAUAACCGCAUGGCUUCCAAGGUACCCACUUUUCCAUCCUUCAAGUAGGAGUCUUUCCGACCUGACUUCGCGCAGUUAUCUUAACUAGUAGAGUCUUUUAAUAUUUAGGCUGAGUUUUAAGAAAUUUGUAGUGGCAAUAAUAUUCACCAAACCGAACCUAAUUAACGACCCUGAAUCCCUUGAGAUUGGCACUAUUACAGUAGUUAUUAUAAUAUCGUAAUUGUUAACUUUAUACGAGCAUACGAGAUAAAAAUAAAUUGUGUCAAUUGA